GAGGCGUCAGUGUGAAGGGAAGGCUAAGGACGCAUCGGUGCUGGAGAGUUGAGAAUAUGCCUUCCCCUCCACCCCCAACCCAGUCACCUUAUUUGAAAAAAAAUUAAAAAACACCUUUUAUUUAAAAACCUAACCCUGGAAGUUUGCUCGCUGACAUCAGGGGAGCAACGUGAACACAGGAAAAUGGAAAUCAACAUUUGAAACUUUUAAAUGGAAGCUUUAUUGGGGUUCCACAUAUGGAAAACUGCAAAUAGCAGAAGUAUGUGACUCAAUAAAUUAUUCUGGAGUGACCACAUCCUCUAACUGCCUCCCAGGACAAGACGGAGAAUGUGAACAAUGCUCCUGAAGGCCCCUUUCCCUCAAAGAAUCACUGCAAUUGAAGGAAAAAUGCUCCAUGUCCCCUCUGCCAGUUGGUGUUUAUCAAAGGACAACGGAGGAAGAGAGACAAAGUGCCUGGAUGUGUGUGUUAAUCAAGAGUUGUCAGGACCCUGCCUCUAAAAGAAAGCGCUAAAAUGAUGCUUUUGACAAGACUUUUCUCAAAGUGGAUGCAGUCUAAGGGUUGGAAAACAAGGCCCAAUCAGGCUAGGUCUGACUUGUCGCCUGCUUUUGUAAAUAAAGUUUUAUUGGCUCACAGACA
rnacentral:lncRNA from 1 species